GUGAGACUUAGCGCUCCAACCCUUGCGAAUCUACCAUUGCGGCGUUGUUUCGGUGGGUUGUCAGUGGAUUUGUCCGCUGACAUGCCGCCUGGCCAGCGGAGCCCGCCGGCAGCGCCAAAUUCUCAGUUUUAGUGAAAGUCUUCUGAGUGGCAAAGCAAAACAAGCA
rnacentral:misc_RNA from 1 species